UUGUCUGAAAGUGAGCAGCUGGCUACACCAUGAAUUCCCGUCUACAAUGCUCUGCCUCACCAUAGACUCGUAACCGGACCCUUUCUGCCAUCUGGAUCAUCUACUUUCUGCUUCUUGACCAAGACACAUACAUGAGCAAACAGGCUAUUCUUCCAAGCCUGGGGAAUGUUAUCCUCUGCAUCAUAUCUGUGUUCACAGUGGAGGUUAACUCUUGUCUGACCAGGUAUAUGCUACAAAGCUCAGAAGAGAAAGGAGGGUGUGGAGGAAGCUGAACUUGAAAGAAGGCAGAGGAAAUGGAAGGCCUACAAAAAUUUCCUCAAGGAGCAAAAGGAAACCUCUCUUAUUUGACUGCUCACAGAAGGAGCUUGGAGAAGAACCUAGGUCCUCGUAGUCUGCUCCAUACAGCUGAGGACAGUACCCAGGAAGGUGAGGAGAACUCUGAGGAGCUACCUGGUCCUAGCAUUGCCUUUCUGAGCCUAUGGCCCAGGGAUGGGUUAAUAACUUCUCCCUGGCCUUAUCUUUACCAUCAAA
rnacentral:lncRNA from 1 species